GAGCGGCGAACGGGUGAGUAACACGUGAGCAACCUGCCCCUGACUCUGGGAUAAGCCUGGGAAACCGGGUCUAAUACCGGAUAUGACCGUCUCCGGCAUCGGAUGANGGUGGAAAGAUUUUUUGGUCGGGGAUGGGCUCGCGGCCUAUCAGCUUGUUGGUGGGGUAGUGGCCUACCAAGGCGACGACGGGUAGCCGGCCUGAGAGGGCGACCGGCCACACUGGGACUGAGACACGGCCCAGACUCCUACGGGAGGCAGCAGUGGGGAAUAUUGCGCAAUGGGCGGAAGCCUGACGCAGCGACGCCGCGUGGGGGAUGACGGCCUUCGGGUUGUAAACCUCUUUCAGCAGGGACGAAGGUGACGUGUACCUGCAGAAGAAGCGCCGGCUAACUACGUGCCAGCAGCCGCGGUAAUACGUAGGGCGCAAGCGUUGUCCGGAAUUAUUGGGCGUAAAGAGCUCGUAGGUGGCUGGUCGCGUCUGCCGUGAAAGCCCGCAGCUUAACUGCGGGUCUGCGGUGGAUACGGGCCGGCUAGAGGUAGGUAGGGGCAAGUGGAAUUCCU
rnacentral:rRNA from 2 species